rnacentral:tRNA from 1 species
GCCCCCGUAGCUCAGAUGGAAAGAGCGGCUGCCUUCUAAGCAGCGGGUCGGUGGUUCGAGUCCACCCGGGGGCA